rnacentral:lncRNA from 1 species
UGCUUAUUUUUGGAAGAGAUUAACAGGUUAAUUUUGACCAAAUACUUUAGCUAGCGUUCUCUUAAAAUUAGACUAAGAUAAAAACAAGACUAUACACUGAGUGCGAAAGUACGUACUAGCAGCUUUCCUAUCUUAACUUUAAAUUUAAAUUAAAUUAAAUUAAAUUAACUUAUAGAUAUAGACAAAAAGAAUAUAUAUAUAAUUAUAUCUAUAUUAUAUAUAAAAGCGUAUAAGAAUGAAGAGGAGAUUAAAAAAAAAUAAAAGAAUAUUUACUUUGAAUGAUUAAUCUAUAUCUAUAUCUAUCUAUAUCUAUAUCUAUCUAUAUCUAUAUCUAUAUCUAUACUAUAUAUAAAAGCGUAUAGAAAUUCUGACAAUGACAGACGGAUAUAAAAACGUAUAGAAAUUCUGACAAUGACAGACGGAAUUAAAAAAAGUAUAAAAGAAUAUUUUCUAUAUUUUCUACGAAUGGAUAUGAUCACUUAAUUAAAAAAUGUUCAAAUAAGAACGAACUGUUGUGAUUAAUCUAUUAAAAAAUAGCUUUAACGGGUAAGAACGGUAUGAUCACAUAAUUAAAGAAAUCUCAAAAUA